rnacentral:tRNA from 1 species
GGAGGGUAUAGUUCAGUGGUAGAGCGCAUGCUUAGCAUGCAUGAGGUCCUGGGUUCAAUCCCCAGUACCGCCA